rnacentral:tRNA from 1 species
GGCCGACUGGCGAAAUGGCAUCGCGUCUGACUACGAUCGUCUACGAAUGCGAUGUAUCGGAAAUCAGGAGAUUGCAGGUUCGAGACCUGCGUCGGUCA